UCUUAAGGGCGUUCGGUGGAUGCCUUGGCGACAAGAGGCGAUGAAAGACGUGAUACGCUGCGAUAAGCUAUGGGGAGCUGCGAAUAAGCUUUGAUCCAUGGAUUUCUGAAUGGGGCAACCCACUCCGUAUGGAGUACCCGCAAGGGAGCAAACCCGGGGAACUGAAACAUCUAAGUACCCGGAGGAAAGGACAUCAACCGAGACUCCGCUAGUAGUGGCGAGCGAACGCGGACCAGGCCAGUGGCUAUAGAGUAAGAACCGGAACCGUCUGGAAAGUCGGGCCUCAGCGGGUGAUAGCCCCGUACGGGUAGAAAUCUUUAUAGUCCUCGAGUAGGGCGGAACACGUGAAAUUCUGUCUGAACAUGGGGGGACCACCCUCCAAGCCUAAGUACUCCUUGUCGACCGAUAGCGAACAAGUACCGUGAGGGAAAGGUGAAAAGCACCCCGACGAGGGGAGUGAAACAGAUCCUGAAACCGGACGCCUACAAACAGUUGGAGGGCUUCGUGCCUGACAGCGUACCUUUUGUAUAAUGGGUCAGCGACUUAAUUUAACGAGCAAGCUUAAGCCGGUAGGUGUAGGCGUAGCGAAAGCGAGUCUGAAUAGGGCGUUUUAGUUCGUUGGAUUAGACCCGAAACCGAGUGAUCUAGCCAUGGCCAGGUUGAAGGUGCGGUAACACGCACUGGAGGACCGAACCCACGCCUGUUGAAAAAGUCGGGGAUGAGCUGUGGCUAGGGGUGAAAGGCCAAUCAAACUCGGAAAUAGCUGGUUCUCCGCGAAAUCUAUUUAGGUAGAGCGUCGGAUGAAUACUCUCGGGGGUAGAGCACUGGAUGGGCUAUGGGGGCUUACCGCCUUACUGAUCCUAACCAAACUCCGAAUACCGAGAAGUACUAUCCGGCAGACACACAGUGGGUGCUAACGUCCAUUGUGGAGAGGGAAACAACCCUGACCGCCAGUUAAGGUCCCUAAGUUAUGGCUAAGUGGGAAAGGAUGUAGAACUCCCAAAACAACCAGGAUGUUGGCUUAGAAGCAGCCAUCAUUUAAAGAAAGCGUAACAGCUCACUGGUCUAAAUAAGGGGUUCCGCGCCGAAAAUGUACCGGGGCUCAAGCCAUACACCGAAACUGCGGGUGCACACUUUGUGUGCGCGGUAGCGGAGCGUUCUGUAAGUCUGCGAAGGGGGACCCGUGAGGGCUCCUGGAGAUAUCAGAAGUGCGAAUGCUGACAUGAGUAACGAUAAAGGGAGUGAGAGACUCCCUCGCCGAAAGUCCAAGGGUUCCUGCUCAACGCUAAUCGGAGCAGGGUUAGUCGGCCCCUAAGGCGAGGCCGAAAGGCGUAGUCGAUGGGAAACAGGUUAAUAUUCCUGUACUUGGUGGUAGU
rnacentral:rRNA from 2 species